ACACCAGUUCACUCCUACGGGGGCAGCAGUGAGGAAUAUUGCCCAAUGGGGAACCCUGAGGCAGCAACGCCGCGUGAACGAAGACGGCCUUCGGGUUGUAAAGUUCUUUUCGUGGGGGACGAAACGGACGGUACCCAGGAAUAAGUUCCGGCUAACUACGUGCCAGCAGCCGCGGUAAAACGUAGGGGACAAGCGUUAUCCGGAUUUACUGGGCGUAAAGCGCACGUAGGCGGACUGGUAAGUUGACCGUGAAAGCUCCCGGCUUAACUGGGAGAGGUCGGACAAAACUGCCGGACUUGAGGCUGAGAGAGGAGAGCGGAAUUCCCGGUGUAGUGGUGGAAUGCGUAGAUAUCGGGAGGAACACCAGUGGCGAAGGCGGCUCUCUGGCUCAGAACUGACGCUGAGGUGCGAAAGCGUGGGGAGCGAACGGGAUUAGAUACCCCGGUAGUCCACGCUGUAAACGAUGGAUACCAGGUGUAGGGGGUCAUUAACCCCCCCUGUGCCGCAGCUAACGCGUUAAGUAUCCCGCCUGGGGACUACGGCCGCAAGGUUA
rnacentral:rRNA from 1 species